UACAGAGGGUGCGAGCGUUGUCCGGAAUCACUGGGCGUAAAGGGCGCGUAGGUGGCGGCCCAAGUCCAUGGUGAAAGCUCGAUGCUCAACAUCGAGUCGGCCACGGAUACUGGGUUGCUCGAGCACUGUAGGGGCAGAUGGAAUUCCGGGUGUAGCGGUGGAAUGCGUAGAGAUCCGGAAGAACACCGGUGGCGAAGGCGGUCUGCUGGGCAGUUGCUGACACUGAGGCGCGACAGCGUGGGGAGCAAACAGG
rnacentral:rRNA from 1 species